rnacentral:rRNA from 1 species
UACGUAGGGGGCAAGCGUUGUCCGGAAUCAUUGGGCGUAAAGAGCGCGUAGGCGGCCCUGUAAGUCCGCUGUGAAAGUCAAGGGCUCAACCCUUGGAUGCCGGUGGAUACUGCAGGGCUAGAGUCCGGAAGAGGCGAGUGGAAUUCCUGGUGUAGCGGUGAAAUGCGCAGAUAUCAGGAAGAACACCCGUGGCGAAGGCGGCUCUCUGGACCAGCACUGACACUGAGGCACGAAAGCGUGGGGAGCAAACAGGG